GACUACUGUUUUUAUUUAAAGGUUAAUGAAAUGAAAGGUUGUUAAAUGACAUUCAAAAGCACAUCUGGAGAAAUAUAGUCAAAAGACAUUCUAAUGACCACCAAGGGACUCAAAAAAAUUAAAAUAUCUAACUUAAAUCUAGAAUAAUCUGUAUUAUUUUCAAGAAGUAUAUCCAAAGAGAAACAAAUUAUGUCAUUUUAUAUAUAUACACUUCAUGAACCAGAAGCAUUUCUGAGGACAGGAAUAGAAAAAAUUUUAGCAUUCUGACAAUGGAAAUGAAGUUAUUUCUGAGAGAAAGAAAUAAUUCCUAAGAGUUAAAUAAGCCUUUUUUAAAUUGAUAUAUACAUAUGAAUUGUGUGUGUGUGUGUGUGUAUAUAUAUAUAUAUAUAUACUUUUUUUUUUUUUUUUUUUUUGCCACACCAGCACGACUUGUGGGAUUUUAGUUUCCCAACGAGGGACUGAACCUGGGGCCUCAGCAGUGAGAGCACGGAGUCCUUAACCAUUGGACAGCCAGGGAAUCCCCUAAUUUAUACUGUAAAGGUUUUUUUAACUUGUGUAACCUGUGUAUAAUGACAAAACAUAAAGAGCCUUCAUUUUUUUUAAUGAGUAUAAUAAAAACCAUAAAAAUCUCAGAAGACACUUAAGAAAAGGUAAUUAGAGAAAGGUCCAAGAAAUCCCACUUGAAAUCCUUUUUUAAAAGGGAAUUGGGGAAUUCCCUGGUGGCGCAGCGGUUAGGACAUAGGCUUUCACUGCCAUGGACCUGGGUUAGAUCCCUGGGUGGGAAACUUAAGAUCCCACAAGCCACGUGGCACAGCCAAAAAAAACCAACAAAAACAAAACUUUAAAAGGGACGGCAUUACAUUCACUUUUACAUUCAUUUUUAAGAUACUGCUAAUAUUUGUAAUAAAGGAAAUGGCACAUAUUCAAAAUUUUAUGUUCACUAUGCAGUUUCUAUAAUAGCGUAUUAAAAGCCACAAAUCUGGGACUUCCCUGAUGGUCCAGUGGUUAAGACUCCACACUCCCAAUGCAGGGGGCGAUCCCUGCUGGGUGAACUAAGAUCCUGCAUGUGGCAUGGCUCGGCCAGAAAACAAACAAAAAAGCCACAGAUCUUUCCUCUGCCUCAUAUCCAUAGGUUAUUGUCAUUAAUGUUAAAACAAGAAAAAUUGUUACCUUCCUUGAAUGAAUAUUAAAGAAACCUCAUAUAAGCCAAAUAUAUGAUUUAAGUGCUAAUGAGAGACCAUUAAACUAGAAAUAGAAUUUCAGAUGACUCAAAACUACUCACAUAUGAAACACCCGAUGGGUCAAUCAUGUAGAGUUGUGCACCAUCAUUCACACUGUAAGACCCUAACAUGAAACUACAUAAAAGUAAAUUAGUAAUUUUAAACCAUGGUUCUUAAUACCAGAAAAGUAUUAAAAAGUACAGUGAUAAGGCUUCUCUGGUGGCACAGUGGUUAAGAAUCUGCCUGCCAAUGCAGGAGACCCGGGUUCGAGCCCUGGUCCGGGAAGAUCCCACAUGCCACGGAGCAACUAAGCAACUAAGCCCAUGUGCCACAACUACUGAGCCUGCGCUCUAGAGCCCGCAAGCCACAACUACUUAAGCCCACGCGCCUAGAGCCCAUGCUCUGCAGCAAUAGAAGCCACCGCAGUAAGAAGCCCGCGCUCUGCAACACAGAGCAGCCCCCGCUCGCCGCAACUACAGAAAGCCCGCGCGCAGCAACGAAGACCCAAUGCAGCCAAAAAUAAAUAAAUUUAUUAAAAAAUAAAUAAAAUUUAAAAAAUAAAAAGUACUGUGAUAAAAAUGCAAUUGUACUUUCUAAGACAAACAUUUACUAAUACCCAUAUAACUCAUAGUAAGCACUUUGAUAAUGUAAUUUGGAUAAAAACUAGUAUAUACUUUAAAAUGUUCAAAAUUCAUGUGCCUUUGCUUAGUAUUAAACCUUCUGAUGAAACUUUCCUGAGAGGAUAGCAGUGGAGAGAAAGGAGUACUGAUAGAUGGACAAGUAAUAAGGGGGCCCAAAAGCUAAAGGAAUAAACAUGAAAAAGCCAAGGGGACAAAAUUCCUGAUGUGAAUACACUGAAACUACCUAAAACUCUUGUUCCACCCUUCAUUCUUUUCUGGCUAUUCCCCGGUACUCCUCCAUUUAUUUUCCUGCAAUAAAAAUUGCAGGAAAAUUGGUUCAAUGAAUUUUUUUAUGCUCAACAAAUUAAAAUUAGGGUAUUAAAAAAUCAUAUGAAUUACUGAUUUUUUUGAAAUUACAAGUAGAAAAGAAACCAGCCUUAUCAUUUCAUGUGCAGAAUACUGUAACAGCCACAUCCCAUUUAAGAACAUCUGACCUACUGCUUAAAGUGUAUUAGAUGGAAACUAAUGAGAAAACUGAAGUGUCAGUAUAAUUGGCUACUAAAUAGUAACAACAUGGAAUAUAUUUAAAAUCAGUUUGCCAUUUCCUGAAAAUGUUUGCGUUUAGUUCCAGAGAAUUUUUUCCCCCAGUUUUAUUGGGAAAUAAUUGACAUACAUCACUAUAUAAAUGUAAGGUGCACAGCAUGAUGGUCUGAUUUACAUACACUGUGAAAUGAUUAGCACAAUAGGUUUAGUUAACAUGCAUCAUCUCAUAUAGAUACAAUUAAAAGAAAAAGAACUCCCUCCUUUUGUUGAGAACUCUAAGGGAUCUACUAUAUUAAAAAUUUUCCUUUUUAUCACACAUCAGUGUUAACUAUAGUCAUCAUGUUAUACAUUACAUCCCUAGUACUUACUUAUCUUAAACUAAAAGUUUAUAUACCUUUUGGGACUUACCUGGUGGGACAGUGGUUGGGAAUCCGCCUGCCAAUGCAGGGGACACGGGUUUGAGCCCUGUCCUGGAAGAUCCCACAUGCCACGGAGCAGCAACUAAGCCCGUGCGGCACAACUACUGAGCCUGCACUCUAGAGCCCGCGAGCCACAACUACUGAGCCCACGCACCGCAACUACUAAAGCCCACGUGCCUAGAGCCCGUGCUCCACAACAAAGAGAAGCCACCGCAAUGAGAAGCCCAUGCACUGCAACGAAGAGUAGCCCCCUCUCGCUGCAUCUAGAGAAAGCCCGUGCACAGCAACGAAGACCCAACGCAGCCAAAAAUAAUUUUAAAAAAAGUUUAUAUACCUUUUGACCACCUUCCUCCAGAGAAUUUAUUAUAAUUAGAUUAAAAUAUUACUAUGAGUUCUGUGUUUUAUCCUGUCCAAAUCUGCAUAGUCGUUCAUUUUUCAAAGUUUUUAUUUUUAUGUACAUCAUUUUAUUUAAUCACUGCCCUAAUACUUCUUGAUGAUACUUCAUUUUUUAAGGGUAUAAAAGGCUAAUUUGAUUCUGAGAAAACAAAUACCUACAGUACAGAUAUCACUGAAUAUCUCAGUAAAUUUCAUACCUGCAGCCAAAAGGUCUAACAGCACUGUAGAGUGUAUAGGCAUGUACAUACAUGGCCACUCUGUCUGCAAGAUGCUGUGGGGAAAACAGAAAAGCUUAUUAAUACUCCUCUCUUUCUGUUCCAAAGGCUCUUCAACAUGUUAUCAGCUUACUUUUAGUGGAAUGUUAUAUCCAAAGUUAGAUCUAAAGUUGGAAGCCUCUUCUCUCGCAAUGUCUGCUAAAGAACGAGCAUCUGCCAACAAACCUGCUACUGCCUGAAAAAAAAAAAAAAAGUACCAAUUCAGUAGAUAACAUUCCUAUCACAAAUCAAGGAAAGUGUGUGGCAGACUUUUUUUCUAAAAUGAACAAAGUGAGCCUGUUGCUUCAAGGGGACACGGGUUCGAGCCCUGGCGCGGGAAGAUCCCACAUGCCACAGAGCAACUAAGCAACUCAGCCCAUGCACCACAACUACUGAGCCUGUGCUCUAGAGCCCGUGAGCAACAGCUACUGAAGCCCCCAUGCCACAACUACUGAAGCCUGCACGCCUAGAGCCUGUGCUCCACAACAAGAGAAGCCACCGCAACAAGAAGCCCAGGCACCGCAAUGAAGAGUUGCUCCCGCUCGCCACAACUAGAGAAAGCCUGUGCGCAGCAACGAAGACCCAAUGCAGCCAUAAAUAAAUAAAUAAACCCUAUUAAAAAAAUUAAAAAUGAAA